rnacentral:rRNA from 1 species
CAGUCGCCGCGGGAAUACGUAGGUGGCAAGCGUUGUCCGGAUUUAUUGGGCGUAAAGCGAGGGCAGGCGGUCAAUUAAGUCUGAUGUGAAAGCCCCCGGCUCAACCGGGGAGGGUCAUUGGAAACUGGUUGACUUGAGUGCAGAAGAGGAGAGUGGAAUUCCAUGUGUAGCGGUGAAAUGCGUAGAUAUAUGGAGGAACACCAGUGGCGAAGGCGACUCUCUGGUCUGUAACUGACGCUGAGGCUCGAAAGCGUGGGUAGCAAACAGGAUUAGAUACCCGAGUAGUCCCUGUCUCUUAUAC